CCAAGAUGCAAGAUGGCCGUUCUCAGCGACUGGGCGUGACAACGGAGCCUUUCGACAAACCAAAGGGUGUCAAUUAGGUCUUCAAAGUUCAGGUGAACAAGCGUGGCUUGCAAACGUCAAUGACUAAUUCGUCUUGAAAGUCAUAGUUUACUGACAUGAAAGACAGAUGAGGAUUUUCAACAAACGGCACUUUGAGCAAGCCGACGAAGGACUUCUUUCUUCAAUAAGCACAACUUAGGCGCCGAACGGGGAAUGGCACAGGCAACAGGGGGCGCCAUAUUCAUCCCAUCAUUUUCAGUCUUCGGCUUUGGAUUCAGCGUGAGACUUGAGCGACCUUGUCUGAAAGGCACCCGGCCAACUCGGAGGAAAGUCGCAGCUUGACUGAGACCGACUGCAUCCUCGCAUGGCGCCGUGAGGGGGGGAGGCCGAGGCGACUCGCUUUGGCGGACAGCUCGUAACCGUGGGGCUUUCCCCCCGAGGAGACGCAAGAAA